AAUGAACGCUGGCGGCAGGCCUAACACAUGCAAGUCGAGCGAGGACUUCGGUCCUAGCGGCGGACGGGUGAGUAACGCGUGGGAACGUGCCCUUUGCUUCGGAAUAGCCCUGGGAAACUGGGAGUAAUACCGGAUGAGCCCUUUGGGGGAAAGAUUUAUCGGCGAAGGAUCGGCCCGCGUUGGAUUAGGUCGUUGGUGGGGUAAUGGCCUACCAAGCCGACGAUCCAUAGCUGGUUUGAGAGGAUGGUCAGCCACACUUGGACUGAGACACGGCCCAGAAUCCUACGGGAGGCAGGAGUGGGGAAUCGAAGACAAUGGGGGAAGCCCUGAUCUAGCCAUGCCGCGUGAGCGAUGAAGGCCUUAGGGUUGUAAAGCUCUUUCAGCUGGGAAGAUAAUGACGGUACCAGCAGAAGAAGCCCCGGCUAACUCCGUG
rnacentral:rRNA from 1 species